AUGGCUAAGAAGGGAGGCUGGUUAGGAAGGAAAGCAUGCCUGGACCACAACCUUGGAGGGAGUGAAGGAUUUCAGCCAGGAAAUCUCCCUGGCAGUUUUUAUCCUGGGAGCUUAGAGAAAAGCAGCCACUCAUUGGAGAGCUUACCAGGGAGAUCUCAGAGCAUCUUUCUCCUCCCCAGGGCUCCUAAUCUGAUGGUAAAUACCAGUGAAGACUCCUCAGCCUCCCUCCCCCAGCCAGCCACCUUGUGUUCAAAGAAUGGAAUGGGAUGGGAUGGAAUGGGAUGGAAUGGAAUGGAAUGGAAUGGGUUGGAAUGGAAUGGGUUGGAAUGGAAUGGAAUGUCCAGACACUGCCAGGCAGGGGACACAGACCAGAGCCUUUCAACAUGGCACAGGAAUGGCCUGGUAGAAGUCAAGCCACUGGCUUCUGCCAGUGAUGUAAAGGUCAGCCUGGGUUGGCUGAGGCCCCACCCUGCUCCAGCACUUCCUCUCAUCUGGGUCUCUCUACUCCUCUUCUGGAAGUUGAUCUCCAGGAGCAGAGGGACCUCAUCUUCUUAUGGGUAUGACUCCACUGUGGUACCACCAGGCUCUAAUACUUAAUUAGACACUCAAAACCCCAAAGCCCUUCAUAGAAUGAAUGAGUAAGCCAUUGUGGUAGACCGCUGAUAUAUGUCCUCUUCCACACUGAGUUGGGCUGAUUUGUAUCCUCAGCAGAAUGGAACGUUGCACAAGUAACAGAGAGUAGCUUCUGAGGCUAGGUGAUAAAAGAUGCUUCCAGCUUUGUCUUGCUUUCAGGGGUCACUUGCUCUGGGGGAAGUCAGCUGCCAUGUCAAGAGGAUGAGCAAGCAGCUGUGUGGAGAUCUCUGUAUGGUGAGACACUGAGGCCUCCUGCCUACAGCCUCUAGCAAGCAAUCUGUGUGGGCAGAUGCCCUCACCCAGAAAGCUUCCAAUCCCUGCAGCCACGGCUGACCUUUUGGUGACAACCUCAUGAGGGAUUGUGAGUCAGAAACUACCUCUGAAUUCCUGAAUCACAGGAACUGUGAGGUAAUAAAUGUUUCAGGUGCAAAGUGGUGGGAUAAUUUGUAUGCAGCCACAGAUAACUAAUACAUAUUUUUCUUUAAAAGAUGGGAUCAUAAUAUACAUACUGUUCAGAAACCAACCUUUUUACUUAAACAGUAUAUCAUGACCAUUUUUCAUGUUU
rnacentral:lncRNA from 1 species